UUGACUGACAACUUCCGCAGGGUCCCGCCAGCCUCUCGGAGGUUCGGGAGGGAGUAGGGGGUGGGAAAACAUGCCAGCUCCCUCAGCCAAUCGCAGGGCUAAGCGGCAGGAACGGAGUGAGGCGUGGCCUCCCUCCUCUCUCGUUAAGCUGAGAGGUUAGGCAGAGAAAUGAGGCGUGGUUGUGUGACGGACUUCUGCUACAACCAAUCAUAAGUGAAGACGGCAAGCCGUGCGCCGCUUACGUCACAACAGCGCGAUGAAUUCUUGUGGUGGAGGAGAGGUGCCCCGCCACCAGCGAGGGACUUUGCGCGCCUGCGCGACAAGCCUAGGCUCUACUUGCUCUCCUGACGGCCUAUCAGAAGACCAGAAAACUAGAGUGGGUAGUUUAGAGAGCAAUGUGAUCAAGAGUGGUGAAACUGUAUACAAUUCUCCCAGUCAGGGAGGUUGAAACGUAAGCAGCAGCUUUGAAAAGCCAUUGAAGCUCCAGACCAUGUUGAAUCUACCUUCACAAAUGGCCAGACCAGGCCUUCUCAAAAUUUGCACAACCGACCAUGUAGUUCAGUGCUCUCGACUUCACUACCAGAUCAGCCUUUAAAAACACUGUCUAUAGGGGCACCUGGGUGGCUUAGUCUGUUAAGCAUCGACUUUUGAUUUUGGCUCAGGUCAUGAUCUCACAGUGGUGAGAUGGAGCCCUGUAUGCCUCUCUGCAAUGAGUGUGGAACCUGCUUGGGAUUCUCUCUCUCCCUUUCUCUCUGCCCCUUCCCCCACAAAAUAAAUAAAAAUUUUAGAGGCA